UACGAAGGGGGCUAGCGUUGCUCGGAAUCACUGGGCGUAAAGGGUGCGUAGGCGGGUCUUUUAAGUCAGGGGUGAAAUCCUGGAGCUCAACUCCAGAACUGCCUUUGAUACUGAGGAUCUUGAGUUCGGGAGAGGUGAGUGGAACUGCGAGUGUAGAGGUGAAAUUCGUAGAUAUUCGCAAGAACACCAGUGGCGAAGGCGGCUCACUGGCCCGGUACUGACGCUGAUGUGCGAAAGCGUGGGGAGCAAACAGG
rnacentral:rRNA from 1 species